rnacentral:lncRNA from 1 species
AGUAGCCGCAAAACGAACUUAAGGUUCCGCAGAACGGAAUAGGAAUAGCCGAACUGUACCGACUACAGGACUUGUGCGUAGUCGGUUCAGUUCGGCUAUUCCUAUUCCGUUCCGUGGAACCUUAAGUUCGUUUUGCGGCUACUGCUAGCGUCAAUUUCCAGCCCGUGGAGCCGUAGCCUUAGGUUCUUUCUGCGCUAAAUUUCACUCGUAACAGUUGGCGCAGCAUUCACUAAAUUAGAUGUUAUUUUGUUGUUUAUUAUUACAUUGUACAGGGUGUAUCACUGGGAAACGGAAAUGCGUGAAUGGUGAAUAGAGGUCACUGAGGCCGUUCUAGAUAUACUACAUUUAUUGCCCACCGAUUUCUAUACCCGAGUUACAAGGUAUUUUGUACAAUCGAUUUGGCCAUUUCUUUCUGGAUUUAUAACUUUAAAACCUCCUUGUAUAUUAUUUUGAUCUUUGCUACACAUAUGAACAAAUGGUACUCAUUUAGAACCCAAACGACCCAACUACUAAUCACAUGAAAAAUCCAGGUCCGGAUUAACAAAAAACAUAAAGUAAUUGUGAAUCUGUGGACCUUGAAACAACACCCUGCAUAUUGAAAUUUUCAAAAUCUGUUUGCAUAUUUGAAGAGAGCACAAAAAACUGAGUUUAUUGGUUCGCUUCAAUUUUUUGCGCCGACAAUUCAAUGGCUUUAAUUUUGAAAUUAUAUUGAAAUUUUUAAGAACGGCAGGGUCUCACUAGUCUGCGACUAUAAAUAUGCGAAACUUACCCGACUACUUAAUAUCUUUCAAAUUAGGCCUAGUAAAAGCAGUCCAAAAAAUUAAUGGUGUGACUUACUUUCAAUAAUAAUUUAAAAAAAAAAACACUCAUUACUCUCAUUUAUUGCAGAAACCACCUAAGUAAAAUUUUUUCAAAAAUUUAUAAGUCAAAAACUUAAUGACAAGAACAAUGGAAAUAAAUAGAUCAUUCCAAUACCAUGUUUUUGAUUUGGUGAAAAAAUAUUUGAAGGAUACUAGACAUAUACUUAAGCUGCAAAACAGUUUUUUUUUUAGUUUUCCAAAA